rnacentral:rRNA from 1 species
UACGGAGGGUGCAAGCGUUAUCCGGAUUCACUGGGUUUAAAGGGUGCGUAGGUGGGCAGGUAAGUCAGUGAUGAAAUCUCCGGGCUUAACCCGGAACUGCCGUUGAUACUAUCUGUCUUGAAUAUCCUGGAGGUGAGCGGAAUAUGUCAUGUAGCGGUGAAAUGCUUAGAUAUGACAUAGAACACCAAUUGCGAAGGCAGCUCACUACGGGAUCAUUGACACUGAGGCACGAAAGCGUGGGGAUCAAACAGG